AGCGGAGGGACAACUGCAACAGUCCCGAUCUUGGCCUCUCUCUCCUGGACUCUUGCUAACAGGCACAGGGUGAGUUGCUGAAGUUAUGCAGUCAGCAAGACACAGUGUUUUUGGCCCCUUGGAGCUUGCAUUAUAGUGGAGGGAGACACACCUUAGAAAGAGGACAAACAACCAAAAUAUGGCCCAGAUGACUGUCCCUGACCGGGGCUUAUGGUUGCCUGAAGGCUCGAUUUCAAACCAAGGUCUCUGCUCACCUUGGAGCCUUCAAUGUCUCUGGCUGGGAGGAGAGGUGCUGACCAAGCAGCUGUUCAUCAUAACAAGACAUCUGCAAACUAGCAAGCAGGUCCUCACCAAGAUCAGCUUGCACCUUGAUCCUGGAUUUCCCAGCCUCUGCAACUCAUCUCUCAUUUGUCCGAAGCAGGAAACCAAGAGCAGAGAGGACCAGAAGAGAAGACAUUCUAGAGAAAGAGCCAAGGAGGCUGCUGAUUCUGAAGCAGCUCCAAAGAGGGUGGUUUUGACAAGGGCCUGGUUCCUGAGAAAAUAAAGGAGGUCUGAUUCCAGAUAGCAGGCAUUUCCCAAGAAAGGACUCCAGCUUUGUGUUUGCCCCUAGCUCUUGUGUGGUGGUCUGCCUAUGGUGCCCUGUAUGGAUGCUUAACAUGGGGGAGUAAAUGCACAAAUGGGGUGCUGCACGAGUGUGAUGCCAGUGGACCCUACUGAUGAACUGACAGUGAGAACUGCCAUCCCCUCCCCAUCUUUAUCCCAGUUUUUUUUUUUAAAACCUAAAUCUAGGUUCUCACACUGUGGGAAAAUGUAAACUUUUAUCUGUAUUGAACUGUAAGGGGCAUCGUGGAGAGGACUGAGAGAGAGAGGUUCAGGAAAGAAGAUGGUUUUAGAAGAGAAACCCAAGAUCACAUGAGUGAUGGCAGC
rnacentral:lncRNA from 1 species